GUAGUGAUAGGGGUAUGAACUCACUUGAAAAAGGAGUCGAGAGAGAAGCAACAAAACCCGGAGCCCUAGCCUCCUUUUUAUAGUGUUGGGAGGCACCACGAACAUAGUGCAUUCCUUUAUUGAACGCAGCACGUUCUCCUUGCGAGGUCGGCACUUACGUAUUUUCCUCUGAUGGACGAUGGGAUGGCUAUGGUCGAAGAACGCAGGGCGUUCCUUCUUGGACCAGCCUCGGAUUUUGUGCCCCGAACUUGUAAAAUUUGUAACUUUGGCGUACGAGCUCCGAUUUCAACGUUCUUUAUAUCCACACGUAGGUGAGAAAAUUCUUUACAACUCUCGUUUAGACUCCGUCAUCUAAUUCUGACUUUACUUUUAAUAAUAUACUUUUAACAGGCCGGGACUGGAAAAGUCCGUUAAAAAUCCAUAACUUCUUCAUUCGAUGCCCGUUUUCGGCAGUCUUUUUACCGUUUUAUUACCGUUGUCGAGAUCUUUGAUUCUCGUUUUGGUCGCGUUGGCUAAAAGUCGCUCGAGAUCUAUUUCGAGUUUUUAGCUGUCUACCGCUAUGUCCGGAACUUCGUAAAAUCAUAACUUCCUCAUAUGAAGUCAGAUUUGGGUGUUCUUUUUAUGUAUGUUUACGGUUUUGGGAUAUCUAUGAUUUUCAUUUUGAUACUUAAGGCCAAAAAGUAUUUUAUUGGAAUUUCAUAUUUUAUACUUAAUAGUGUUUUACCGGUAUUGUCGCGGAUCUUCGAUUGGUCAUAACUUCUUCGUUAUAACUCGGAUUUUUGUGUUCUUUAUAUUUUUGGAAACCUUGUUAUGAUAUCUACCACUUAGUAUACUCAAACUGAGCUUUUUGAACAUAUCAUUUUUGACCUGAAUUUGACUGGUGUUACAUUAUCCCCCCGUUAGAGAGAAUUUCGUCCCGAAAUUCGCAUUUUGACUGGAACGUCAAAGGUCGAGGAAAGGUGAAUGUACUUUUGUUCCAUUUGAUCUUCUUGUUCUUUAGUGAAUCCGGAUCCUAGCAUGGGUAUUCCAGCGACCUUCAUUAUUCUGUCAGUUGUUUUGACCGGUAGAGGUCGUGUGGAUUUGGGUUUAUUUGUCUAUGUUCAUCUAAAUGUUAGCAUUGAUCACUCGUAAUAUAGGUCAGCUUUGUCUUGAAUUUCAUGGCUGAAUUCAUACCUGGUGCAUCUAUCAUCUCCUUGCGUAUACAAGUUGUAUAUACACUUUGCAGCGAUAUGUUAACCGUAUUCAUUCUUAGCCUCUGUGUUUGAACUUGACUCACUGUACACGUGCUUAUUCCUAAGUGGUCUAUCGGGAAUACUUCGGGUAGGUUGUAAAAGAGAUAGUACUCCUCACAUGAGUGCCACAUGAUUUUGAAACGAGAGAUGAUUUGGAAGUUGUGUCGGGUUAGUCGUUAUAGGUUAGAAGAGUUUCAUUAGCCGGUGGUUAACGCAAAGGGUCUUUUCAUAGCACAUGCAAUUGGUAUGGUGAAGACCAAGCCAAUCCAUUUCUAGUAGCUAUUUGGGAACUUCUUAUCGUAACAAUUAUGAAGUCCAUCAGGAAAAGUGUUCGUUAGUGGGAUAGUGCAUUCUACAUAUGUGUUUUCAUUGCUUUUAGUCUAUCUUUGUUAUUACUACUAUGAAGGUUUUGCUUAAUGAUUGGGUGUUUGUUUGAGUAUAUUUUAAAAUUUGUGACUCACGGAACUCUUCUCCACUCCUAUUAUCAGAUGGAACUCUUCUCCACUCCUAUUGUGAAUACUCGGCCUCCUCCACCAACAUUCCUGUUGUUUGCUUUCGGGCAGUCCGUUCGGAAGUGCCCCGUUGCUCCGCACUCAUAACAAGUACGACCCACUCUGACAUUCGAGGCUGGAGCGGUCGGUGGGGUGGGUUCUCGGCAAAAGUGGACAAUAUGUCCCUUCCCGUUGCAUCUUGUGCACUUCAUCUCACGGCAGGGCCCGUGGUGAGGAAUGUUGCAUCUGUUGCACCUCGGUAAGUUGCCAUUGUACGGCUUUGUGGGUGUAGGGGUGGUAGGAACAGUAAUCAGCGUGAGUUGUCACUAUUUGUUUUCUUUUAGGGUUCUCUUGCAGGGUUUGCCCCUUCCUCUUGUUCCAGGGUUUCCUUUGAUCCUUUAUCUCCUUGGGUGGGUCAGAAGCAGUUGUGAUGGUACCCUGUUUGACUCCAUGAUGGAUCAAACGUUGAGCCAAGCGCUUCACGCUGUCAAACGUGAUUGGGUUGGAAGCCAGGACAUGCCCUUGGAUCUAGGGUGCCAACCCCCAAAUGUACCUCUCCACUUUCUUUGGUUUCGGGUUUACCAUGCAUGGGCACAAGGCUAACAAAUCACUGAACCUGGCCAUGUAAGCGACUAGGUCCGAUCUGGUCAUCCUUAGGUUCCAUAACUCAUGCUCUAACUUUUGGAUUUCUCCCCUUGGGCAGUAUUCUUCCAGCAUCAAGAGUUUGAGAUGUUCCAAGCUCAUGGCAUUUGCAACUGGGAGGGAUAGAGCUUUUACAUGGCUCUUCCACUAGGUGAGGGCUCGAUCAGUGAAAGUGCAAGCAACGAACUUGACUUUGCUUGCUCCCUGGCAUGAACAUAUCUCGAAGACCGUCUCGGUCUUUUUGAUCCAUUGCAUAAGUGCAAUGACUCCUCUAAUUCCAAUGAACAUCUUCGGCUUUGCGUUUGAGAAUUCCUUGUAGGUGCAUUCCCUGACAUGACCAUGACCAGUGCCAUGGUUCAGAUGAUUUGUACUAUUUCCGGUCCAUCCAGCGCCGUUAGAGUUUAUUUGAGACAGUGCAGCUGCUACUGUUGUGGUGAUAGCAACCUGCACCAUAUUGGGUUCCUAUUGGGGAGGUGGUGGCGGUGGCGUUGGUAUUGUGUUGUUUACCCUGCGAGCAGAUCUGCGAGGAGGCAUCUUGCCGCUAAAGAAUUUAACAAUGAAAGACAAUAAGUCUUUGAUGAUUUGAAAGUCGAGUAUCAAUAGACUAAUCGUUUUAGAGUCUUCAUGUGUUGCGAUUCGACUUAAGAGGCGAUUUGUAUUCAAUUUAUGACAAAAGUUUAUAUGAAAGAUAAACCAUAAAUUUCGAGUGAUACGUAACGAAGUAUAAUGCAAGGCAAAUACUUAUAUAUAUUUUAAUAUAUAUCCGAUACAUCAUGAUUGUUGUAAAAAUUGGACCUUUCUAAAGGUCUUUAGUAGAGAAAGUGUAAUAAAAGUAAAACAUUUAGCCUCAUUCCUAGUCUAUAACAAAAUUUGGGACUUCUUGAGAGAUCCUGGUUUGGAUUUGGAUGGCCGACAUUCUAACUUGUACAUAUGCCUUUCCUGUACCAUCUGAUGAUCUCGCGUCUCUCUAACUUCUGCUUAGGAUGCCGCCAGUUCUUUCUGCAAGAAGUUCACAUGUUCCCUUGUUGCGUUAUGAAUGACUUCCGGGUUUCGAAGAUGAAAAGCGUUGACUCCAGUGGUAGCUUCAUUCUGCAUAACGCGAUCGAUGAUAGCUCUUCCUUGUUUGGUGUUACGAGAAACACGACGGACCAGUACGGGAAGCGCCCUAUCUACUGAACCAACUUCUAGAUUGUAGAAGCUUCGGUCUCCUAGGUAGAGGUGAUUCUGACCUUGUUCCUCACUCCACAUGUCUAAGUUUACGGCCCACAGAGGCGUCGGGCCUUGAAAGUUCUGACGAGGGUUAGGGUUCUUAAUAACUUGGGGUGGAUUGUAAACGUUUGAUCCCGAAUCAUCAUCCUCGGGAAAGUCUUCAGCAAAAUCAUCGUCUAAGGGGAUUGCAGGCUCUUCUUCUGGUUUGGCGGCGAGCCAACCUGCAUUUCCCUGGUUAGGAAAGUACGGAUCUUCGGGAGGGUGGAAUCCAUCCAUUGUUAUCUAAGCGAGAAUAGGGAUAUGAGAAUUGUCUAGAAGUUAAAACAUGUAAAUCUAAACAUGUAGGUUAAACUAUUGCAUUUACAAACUACUCCUAUAGUAUCCUAAAUGUUAUGUUUGAUUCUAUGGUUUAUAAGUUUGGUAAGUUUUAGACUUAUUGUCCACUGUAGUUAUCCCCUGGCAUAUGAUGGUCGGCUCUCGGAUAAAUAUAGUUGAUCAGGCUAUAUUCGUCCCAGCCCCGAUUACAUGCCCAAGGCAUACCUGUAAUGCACAACUCAUCUAUAAUACUUCUAUGUUGUUUUCAUUAUGAUACUGAUCCUGUUAUGUAAAGUAUGCAUGUACACUUUUGUAAAAACUUAUCUUAAAAAGUAUAACUCUUAGUCAGAGUGUUUUUACCCAGUUGUGUUUAUAGCUGUAUAUCAAAAAUGGUUUUGAUGUACUUAGUUCACUUUAAACAAUGCUCUGAUAUCAAUCUGUCAUACCCCUAAACCUGAACGGUGGAAACGUUCAGUGGCGGAGGACGUCAUGUGCAGUAUCAUAACAAUUGAAUAGUAAAGAAAGUACACACCACCAUAACAUAUAUUUGAAAAGUUUACAUGAUUGUAUCUAUUACAUGUUUAAAAGUCAAAUACAAUAUGAUGAAUUCCAAAAUAUGAUAUUAACGCCAAAGCGUUAAUCCCCAAAAGUAGUUGCUAACCUUGAUUAACGGUUAAUGAGAAUACAAGUAAUAUGUGUCAACAAUUAAGUUGGUGAGUUCAUAAGUAGUGAUUUGAGUAAAUGUAUGCCAUUCGAAAGUUCAUGUAUGUUUUCCAGAAAAUCCGAUAUUUUCUUAAAAAAUGAGUCAUGAGUUGUUAUGUGUAUGAAAUGAAUGUAUUGAACCAGAAAAAUCCUAUAUUUUCCUGAAAGUGAGGAGCAGUCCUAAAUGUCGAAGACUGUAACUUGUAAGCAAAUAUGUCAUGUAACGACCGAAAAAAAAUUCCAACCAAUUUAAAUUUUUCAAAAACAACCCAUUUCAUUAAAUUAUUACAAAAAGGUUUUCAAUACAAUUUAUUUAGAGUAUUCCCAGAAUCACAUCACAACAUAAACAUGAGGAGUGGUACGAUCACGCCUUCGCUUUGCCACAGUCUCAUGAAGAACCUGAAAAACAUUAAACCACAACUGUAAGCCCGAAAGCUUAGUGAGCUAUCCCCAAAAUACCAACCACACAUACGCCCUUCCAGGCUAUGACCUUCUGGUCCAAAUCAUAAUGCCUUCCGGCCCAUAACAUAGUGCCUUCCGGCCCAUAUCAUACAUAGCAUACAUAACAUAACAGAACACAGAACAGCCAUGCACUUCGGGUCUACUGUGAGACUGGUCCGCCGCGCCGGCCAACAGUCCACCUGGUCCACCCUCUGAAUCUAGCCAUAUACAUCGAGUCUGCAAUGUGAUUGGUCCACCCGCACCGGGCCUUCAAUCCACCUGGUCCACUCUCUGAGUCUACAGUAUGACUGGUCCGCCCGCACCGGGCCUUUAGUNNNNNNNNNNNNNNNNNNNNNNNNNNNNNNNNNNNNNNNNNNNNNNNNNNNNNNNNNNNNNNNNNNNNNNNNNNNNNNNNNNNNNCCUCUUGGGGCCUACAGCCUAUCCGGACCGCUCGAUGGGCCUUCGGGACAACCGGUCCGCCCUGGGUAUCUUGGCCUACAGCACAAAGCAGGACCCGCCUCAACCCAACUCCAGUCCAAACAACCAUGUGCACAUAAACAUACAAUCAUAUAAGCAUUCAUAGUCAACAAGCCGAUCAAACAGAUCACAUAACAUAUCAUCAUCCUAACCAGGAUACCGACCUAACCGGUCACUAGCAUAGCAUCACCCUACAUAUCAGGGAACCGACCUUAACCAGGUCUCUAACAUAUACCAUCCUAGCUACCAGGAUGCAAACAUAUCAAAGCAAUAACAUAACAACAAAUAUCCGUAUCUCAAUCCGAUAAAGGGCCGGCCUUGGUGCCUUCGACCCUAUCGAUAUAGUGAGGAUAACUCACCUCGCACUGCCAAAACUCUGAACUGAGGAAGCAGAUUCUCGAAUCACCGACUCACCGAAAUCCCAAACUAGCCAACAUAGCACAAAUAAACAUUAGGCCAAGCACAAUACUCUUCUAAGGGUAAAUUAACCAUUUUACCCCUAACUCAAUCCGACCCAACACUAGGUAAGCUCCCAAGCCCACCAAUGGCCCAAAGUCCAGAAGUCCAAAACAAAACCCAUUAGUGGCCCAAUUUACUAAAUUGGGCCCACCUUACCAAAUGGGCCUAAACUCAUUAUCCAUAACAACCAAUGGGCCCAAAAGACUCUAUCCAUAAUGUCCAGUUACGGCCCAAAAUCCAGCAACUCAAAUAACAGCCCAAACCUUAAGGCCCAAAAUGAAAACCAAACAGAGGGAGUACGCUGGGCGUACACGCUGAUUCGCAACAGGGGAUCGGGCACUGACUCGCUACGCGGGGCGUACUCACAUGUUACGCGGGGCGUAACUUCGCUACUCAAUAAGUCCUUAUAACUUCUUAAUGGCUUAAGCUCUUAAGCCCAAACUUCAGAUCCCUAGGCCAAACAUGCCUAAGAUUCAUAAAGUCUCAAACUUUAUUACUUGGGACGUCCAAAAGCUCUUAAUCUAAGGUCUUAAUCCUUUAAGACCUAUAUAUCUCACACAUGGAACAACUACAGCCGUUGGGACCUCAUUUUUCUCACUCAAGACCUCUCCAAAGGUCUGAAAGGACAGAUAAUCUCGGCCAACACAAAGCUUUAAUCAAGAUGAGAACUUUGGGACAAGAAAGAUGCUAAAACUUCACAAUACUUAGAUCUAUGCAAAAUAAAUGGCAAGCAAGAAGCUUUAUACCUCAAAUAAGCUCCAAAGGAUGAUAUCUCUUCAGAUCUACAAGCCCCAAUCGUUCCUUUCCUUCUUUGAAAACUUCUCCUUUCUUCUUCUAGCUUUUCUUUUGCCAAAAUGAGCUUUCCAAGGCCAAACACACCCAACAAUGGAGGGAAUACGGGUUUCUAGGGUUUCUGAGCUUAAGGGUGAGUUUAAGGAGGCUAGGGUAUGAACCAACAUGUUCCUUAUAUAGUGGCUGACCCUAAAUUUAGGGUUUUAGAACUCUGAGAGUAUGCUGGGCGUACCUCUAGUAUGCUGGGCGUACUCAGCCUUGCACCCGCGUCCAUAUACGCCUUACGCUGGGCGUAAUCCCAGCUUACGCUGGGCGACUCGGCAAGUUCCCAAUUUCAUACUUGCCCCUCAUUUUCCACUUUUCCCACAAGAUGACCAAACUAUCAUUUCUCUUAAAUCCCGGGGACUCACAAUUAGGUACUCUCAGGAACUGGGCGUUACAUGUCAUGCUUAAAAUAAUGAUGUAUAGUUCUAUUAUUAAAAUAAUAAAACCACUGAAAGAUAUGUUUAAAUCUCCUGAACGUGGUAAUAAUAUCCUACUAUGACUACUUAAUACAAACAAGUUAUGUAAAAGCAAUCAUAAAGAUACUACUCCAUGGGUGUGUUCAAUAAAUGUAUUACUAGGUGCAUGAGUCAUUGUUUCCGCGUUGCAAGUCUCUCAUAACCAUACUUGACGUAGUACCAAAUGUUGACAUUAGUCACCCUGGGUCGAUUGUAGCUAACAGUCAGGGUGCGGAGUCGUCAGCCCCGUAUAGAAGUGACUUUUGUUUGAUACUAAACAAAUCCUUUUGCCUCACAUGAUUGCUAACAACGAGUUCACGAGUAAUAUGAUGAAAACUCUUUUGACAAUUCAAGAUAACAAUUAAGUCACGUAUUCAAAAGUGUGUUUGUUUCUUACUAAAAUGAUUACCCUUUCUACACUGUUGACAAAGGCAUAAUAAUGAUUUGUAUAUUCUUGUAAAUAUAAAACGUUGUAGUUGAAAUGUUUGCUCUUGAUAUGAUAUAGUAUGCACAUUUAUAAAACAUAUUUCUAUUUAUAAAUCAUGUAGUACCCUAAAAGAGUAAAGUUGUGUUUGUGAAGUGUUUUACAUGUUAACGACUUCAUAUGAUAGUAUAACAAUAGCAUGAAAAGUAUAGCAAAAUAUUGGUGUUUCACACGGUUUUAGUCGUGUGUUUACUUGUACCCCCCCACCCCUUAAAACUGUUUAAAAGCAUUUGAAAAUGUAGUGAUAGGGGUAUGAACUCACUUGAAAAAGGAGUUGAGAGAGAAGCAACAAAACCCAAAGCCCUAGCCUCCUUUUUAUAGUGUUGGGAGGCACCACGAACACAGUGCAUUCCUUUAUUGAACGCAACGCGUUCUCCUUGUGAGGUCGGCACUUACGUAUUUUCCUCUGAUGGACGAUGGGAUGGCUCUGGUCGAAGAACGCAGGGCGUUCCUUCUUGGACCAGCCUCGGAUUUUGUGCCCCGAACUUGUAAAAUUUGUAACUUUGGCGUACGAGCUCCGAUUUCAACGUUCUUUAUAUCCACACGUAGGUGAGAAAAUUCUUU
rnacentral:lncRNA from 1 species